GCCGACUCCCAAUUCUGCCGACAUAGCGAGAGAGAGAGGGGGAGAGAAAGGGAGGAGGAGGUCACGGCUAAGGGGAGGGAGGAAGGAGAGGUCCGGUUUCGACGAUCCAACUCGGUGACAAGUAACGAGCCGGUCUUUUAGGAGGUGCCGAAACCGUAAGUUUGGCAUACUCCAGUCGAAUGAAAGGUGAGUGUGUCUGAUAUGGUUCUUCUCAAUAAGAUAUUGCUAUGGUGGUAUGUAUAUAUCUUGCUAAUGGUAUUUUAGCUUUCAAUAUGAUUAUCGAUAUGUAAAUAAUGCGGUGGAGGUGAUUAUAUAUCAAUGAUAUCAUGCUAAUCGAGGUUUAGCUAUUGAUAUGGAUAUAUGUGGUCGAAAUUGUAUAUCAUGCUAUAUAUUGUUUAGCUAAUGGUAUGCAUGCUUGUUGUAUGUUGAUUGUACCCGCGAAAGGAUUGUGGAGUGAGUCACACCAUAUCGUGGGCCAUGUCGUCUAAUUAACGGUGAAUGGGAGUGUGGUGUGCGGGACACAAUUCCUUGGGUACAUGGGAUGUGGCAGACGUGCCACUGUAUGUUGGUGUUUAUACAUGUGGUUAUACGAUUGAGUACCUAUGUUGAGUUUUGUGUGAUUUACAUUCAUGCCGUUAUUGUUAUGUGGUUGUUUAUUGAAUAAUAUUGCUAUGUUUGGAGAAUGUGGUGGUUAUGAUUAUUGAUAUUCUUUUGGGUAUCGUGACAUUUUAUUGAGCAUUUCUAUAUCUCACACACUCUGGUUUUCCUUUUUGGACUGCCAGGUAGCAGGUGGCUUAGAGUGGGUCCACUACUGGUCAACGCUUUGGAGAGUGCUAGACUAGCGUCGGGUGAUGUCUUUGGUUAGAUUGUUGCGUAGCUGAUUCGUCUAGAAGCUAACCUAAAAGUUAUGUAAUUAAUUGGAGAGAGGGAUAUUUAUUAUAACUUGAGAGUUGAGGUUUUGGGCGUUGACUUGGUUGUAUUUUAAGUGAGAAGUCUUCCGCUAAUUUGUAUUCUGAUUGGUUGUAGAGUGUGGUGUGGUCUAUUGUGUGGAAUGCCACGUGGCCGCGCUGACUCGGGCCCACUCUGGGUGCCGUUUGCGGGGCGGGGCGUGACAGCUUGGUAUCAGAGCUAGUACUUUCUAGACUCUGUGUUGAGAGUUGGUUGGGGGUUGGUAGUGGACCAUAGGAGUUGAGUUUGUCGAGUAGCGGUUAGGGAUUUAACUAACGUGUGAGUUAUAUCCAUAACCAUUGUGUUUGAUGUUGAUUGUUGAAACAGGUUUUUUCUGAUAAACGGAUUUGAAUCAUACGGUAUGUGUUGAGGAUGUUAUAUUUGGUGACGGUGUGGGAUGAACAACGGAUGUAGUUGACAAUGUGUUGUAGUUGUGGCACAAUUCACAUGAAUGCAGGGUUUUGAUAUGGCUCGAUUCAUGGGGUAGCAGAUGGUUGUGGUUCAUUGGCAGUUUGCACAGGGUUCAGGUACGUGUUUGCUUGAAAGGUUUAAAGUGAUUUUCCUUGUACGGUUUGAGUGGGGUUAGUAUCCCUUUCAUUGCAGGAGGAUGUGUGAGAUUUGUGGUACUAGAACUAAAUGUUUUGAGCAUAGUGUCGGCGGUAUCGUAGGUGGUGGUGUCGGGGGGGUUUUGACAAGAGUUGUAUCUGUUGGGGUUGUUUGAUGAUUAUGGGGUGAUCAUGUUUGUGGAAAUUUUUGUGUUAAGGUUUAUUUAGGGUAGUGAUGUGCUUGUGGCAUAUGAUUUGGGUUGAGGGGAGAAUGAUUUAAGGUUGUGUGGUGUGUGAGUCCUAUGACAGUGCGAGUAGUUGAUGAGGUGAAUACGUGGAUGUUAUAAGUUUUGGAGAGCUUAGUUUUAGUGGAUUUUAAGUUGUUGAGCUUGUAUGAGAGAAUAACAUAAUAGUUUGGAGUUUUGUGGGAAUGGUUUUGUUCAUUCCGUGAACUGGAAUAUGGUUAUGAUAGUCUAUGAGGGGAUAGUUGUGGGUGAGUGUUUCUAUGUUGUGGUUAUCAGUGUGGAUGAGUUAAGAGGGAAAUAGAUUAAAUGUGUUGUUAAGGUUAUAGUCUGGUGGGAGGUAAGGUUUGGGAAGCAGAGCGUGAGCUAGUAAGCGGUUGGUAAGUGGUUGUGUAACAUUGACACGUUAGUGUUUAAAUUAUGGAUUAAAAGAUUAUUCUGUUGGUGAGUGUCCUAUUGGAACUUUGGAUUUUGUGGAAAGUUUAUCAUUUCAAUGUGAACUAGUGGUUUUACUUAGGUUGUAGUGGGUUAGUUAACGAGGUCAACACAUCUUUUACCAGUUGAGGUUACUUAUACUACGGAUAAGUGUGCAAAAUUGUAUAUUGAUGGUAUUGUUUGGUGCACAGGGUGCAUGUGUACUGCGGAGUUGAGUAUAACAACGGUUACUAGGGUUGGAGGUUGGUGAGAGGCAGAGAGAUGGUGAGGGUGAUGGUGAUGGCAGUGAAGGUGAUAGUGGUAAUGACGAGGAUGAUUGUGAGGAUAGUGAGAAUGGUAGUGAUAGUGCUGAGGAGAGUAAGGAGCAAAGGUUUCAAGUUUAGUGAGAGUUAGAGUUUUGAGAAAUCCAAAGAGGGUUCAGAGGAGACGAGAUAGGAGUACAGGCAGUGGUUAGUGGCGGUGAAUGUCGAUACGUUCGUUGUGGUCGAUGGAGCAAUUGGUCAGAGAGGGUUCGGGGUGUUGAAAAGUAUACAGGGUUACUGUGUGGCGAGUUUGGGCACAAAGCGGCACAGUGUUCAAGGGUGCAGGAGCCGGCGAUGGAUUCGUUCGAAUAGGUGCCAGGUAUUUUUAAGUUUUGUUAAUGAGUUGUGGGUAGAGUAAUUUUUGAGGAUUCUUGUGUGUGGGGUUGGGAUAACUUAUGGGUGAGUUGGGUGUGCAUUUUCGUUUAAGAUACUGUGCUUGUGUGAGGAGUUGUUGAGAAUUUUCGUGCCCUUGUGUAAAGGUAAAGUGUGAGGGAAUGGAGAGAAUAUAAAUGUAUCUUGAUGAUAGGAUACCAUGCUAGAGUGUGAGUGAGUGUUUUGUGUAUAUCUAUGUGGAUAAUAUAUAUAUCUUGUUGAGUAGAGGAUGUAUAUGUAUGCGUAGUGUGUGUGUGUGUCCUUAAGUGUUACGCCAAGAUUUUUGGACUUGUUUGAAAUCCAGUUGGAACCGCGUCUGCGCAACGUAGUUUCCGGCGGGAGGUCUAACAUUGUCUCUAGAUUGGGUGGUGGCUCUUUGGGACGGUGUUGUGUGUAGGUGGGGUAUUUAUGUUUUAAUUUUAUGGGUACCGUGUUGUGUGCUAGUUGUUGUCGAGAGAAGUGAUUGAUAGGGCUGGUGCGAAUUAUGAAUUGUCCUUGCUAAGGAAGUUACUGGUGUUGGGAUAUGUUGAGCUUUAACGAGAGUUGGAGAUUUGUUUUUGGUGGUGUUAUUGAGUUUGAGGUUGGGUGUUGUGUGGUUACUGAGUAAUUUUGAGUGUAUGCAUGUUUGAGGUUAUUUUCUUUGAGGUAAGAUUUGGGUAGAGGUUGGAUUUAUUCUUUUUGAAGUUUGGUUUUUGUCUACAGGUGGAUGAGUUGUGUAAGUUGGUGAAGGUGUUUGUUUUGAGGAUGGUGUUGGUAACAUUGUGAGGUUGGUUGUUGUUGAUUUUGUGGCGAGUGCUAUUUCGGGGACGAAAUAUUCCAAGUGGGGGAGAGUUGUAACACCCAUCUCGGGAUAUUUAGAGUUUCAAUUUAAUUUUGAGGUUUGGGGUUUAAUUUGUAUUUGUUGGAUUCUAUGAGGGGCCUUGGUGUGAUUUACAUGGAGAAUUGUUAUUGGUUUGGAGUAUAAGUUGAGAGGAGAGGUGACCACAUAGGAUUUCUUCCUAAGUGACUAAAUAGCCAUCAGAUUCUUCCCAAUUCUGCCGACUCCCAAUUCUGCCGACAUAGCGAGAGAGAGAGGGGGAGAGAAAGGGAGGAGGAGGUCACGGCUAAGGGGAGGGAGGAAGGAGAGGUCCGGUUUCGACGAUCCAACUCGGUGACAAGUAAGUUCUUGUACUCUAGAAGUGUAAUCCAUGUUUAAUUUCAUGUUUGUGUGGCUAGAUUCUCCAUGGAUUGAGUUUUGAAAGGAAAUCGACAAAGUUCAUGUUUUGGGUCAAAUUCGUGGGUUUUGGUAAUCUGUCUUUUGGGGGCCCUUUUGCUAGGAAUCAAUUUUUGGUGUCUUCAUAACUGUCAAAGUACGUUUCAAUACGAAGAUUUCGGUACCAAGAUCAUGCAAAACCGAUAAUCACACAAUUAGUUAUGAAUCUUUGAAUACUGGCUGUUUGCUGGAUGUGCGAUUCUGUGCGUGGCUGUCUUCUUUUAACUUUCUGGGCAUGAUGAACAUUUUGGGUGGCUUUGGGUCUUUUAUAGGAGCUGCAUAUUUAAGUUAAGAAGAGAUUGGCGUUGGAAUCAAGUAAUUUGGUUUAGUAUACAAUUUUUGGUGAAUUUCUAAAGCAGGGUUGGUUGACUGGGGCGAAAAUGGUUGCAAAUCGGUUUUUCUUUUGAUUGUUGGGUUAACCUCCUCUCGUUUCUGAACCUGGGAUUUUAACUGAGUGCAGGGCUUGUAGUGGUGCAACUUUUGGUGUUGGUUUCAAUACUUUUGGGUUUAAGAUGAAAGAGUUAUGAUUUUUCAAUCAAUUUUACUUAUUCCCGCGUAGAAUCUGACAGCACCGACGGACUUUGGUAUAAUGGCCAUAACUCCUAGCUCGGGACUCGAAAUGACACACCGUUUGUUUUGUUAGAAACUAGACACAUAGAGCUUUCCAACGAUACGUCCCAUGCAUCAUGGGUAUGUCCGAGCGAUAACAGAUUUGCAUUUAAAGUUGACCUAAAUUCUGCCUUUGCACCAGUUUUUACUGUUAUGUUGAAGCUAUAAUCGUAAGGCCGUAGUUAGGUUACCCGAACUCUGUUUUUGAUGUAUGACCUAUGGAUUCAAAGAAGAAGAAGUCUACUUUUCAAUGGUUUAAGUGUCGCCCUGGAAUUCAUGUUGUUUAAUUAGAUAUGGCCAAAAUAAGACAGGCUGGUUGUGGUUGUCGUUCCUGUUUUGGGAGUUUUGUUGCGUUGGUCUGUUUGGUUGAGAUUGUACAGUUGUGGGUCUUUAUAUUUGAUAUUUUUGGGUGUGUUGGAGUACCUUGGAGUAUGGAAAAGAUGUGUGAGGUCUCCCGGGUACGUGGGUACUCCCGGACACCUCUAGAGAUUUUGGUGACUUUGUGUAAUGUUUGCCCCAUUAGCUAGUGUAGAAGGCAUGUUAUGAUUUGUUAGUCUAGCUUUUGGUUUAACAUUCCUAGAUGUUCAUAUGCUAAUAUGGGUUAACUUGUGGCUAGGUAACGAGCCGGUCUUUUAGGAGGUGCCGAAACCGUAAGUUUGGCAUACUCCAGUCGAAUGAAAGGUGAGUGUGUCUGAUAUGGUUCUUCUCAAUAAGAUAUUGCUAUGGUGGUAGCAGGUGGCUUAGAGUGGGUCCACUACUGGUCAACGCUUUGGAGAGUGCUAGACUAGCGUCGGGUGAUGUCUUUGGUUAGAUUGUUGCGUAGCUGAUUCGUCUAGAAGCUAACCUAAAAGUUAUGUAAUUAAUUGGAGAGAGGGAUAUUUAUUAUAACUUGAGAGUUGAGGUUUUGGGCGUUGACUUGGUUGUAUUUUAAGUGAGAAGUCUUCCGCUAA